rnacentral:rRNA from 1 species
CGGCAGAGCUCGAUUUGAAAGCUGGCUCCUUCGGGGUCCGCAUUGUAAUUUGCAGAGGAUGCUUCGGGAGCGGCCCCCAUCUAACUGCCCUGGAACGGGCCGUCAUAAAGGGUGAAAAUCCCGUCUGGGAUGGGGUGUCCGCGCCCGUGUGAAGCUCCUUCGACGAGUCGAGUUGUUUGGGAAUGCAGCUCUAAAUGGGUGGUAAAUUUCAUCUAAAGCUAAAUAUUGGCCGGAGACCGAUGGCGCACAAGUAGAGUGAUCGAAAGAUGAAAAGCACUUUGAAAAGAGAGUUAAACAGCCCGUGAAAUUGUUGAAAGGGAAGCGCUUGCGACCAGACUCGCCCACGGGGUUCACCCCGUAUUCGUGCCGGUGUACUUCCCCCCGGGCGGGCCCCCGUCCGUUUGGGCGGACGGUCAAAGGCCCUCNGAAUGUAACGCCCCCCGGGGCGUCUUAUA